rnacentral:piRNA from 1 species
AAGAUAGAUAGAUGAUAGGUAC